UCGGAAUUACUGGGCGUAAAGACGCAUGCAGGCGGCCGCGUUAAGUCAGAUGUGAAAGACCGGGCGUUAACCUCGGAAUUGCAUUUGUAAACUAGGCAGGCUAGAGUCUUGUAGAGGGGGUAGGAAGUUUCAGGUGUAGCGGUGAAAUGCGUAGAGAUCUGAAGGAAUACCAGUGGCGAAGGCGGCCCCUCGGACAAAGACUGACGCUCAGAUGCGAAAGCGUGGGGAGCAAACAGGAUUAGAUACCCUGGUAG
rnacentral:rRNA from 1 species